UCUUCGGAGAGUUUGAUCAUGGCUCAGGACGAACGCUGGCGGCGUGCCUAAAACAUGCAAGUCGAACGAGAACUUCGGUUCUAGUGGCGAACGGCGGAGUAAUACAUGAGCAACGUGCCCCAAAGACUGGGAUAU
rnacentral:rRNA from 1 species